rnacentral:rRNA from 1 species
UGAUGGAGUGUUAUCGUAAUGGUAAUUGAACUUAGUACGAGAGGAACCGUUCAUUCAGAUAAUUGGUUUUUGCGGCUGUCCGACCGGGCAGUGCCGCGAAGCUACCAUCUGCUGGAUAAUGGCUGAACGCCUCUAAGUCAGAAUCCAUGCCAGAACGCGGUGAUACCACCCGCACGUAUAGACGGACAAGAAUAGGCUUCGGCUUAGUGUCUUAGCAGGCGAUUCUUCCACGGCACUCGAAGCGUGUCGUGGUAUUUCGCGUAUUGUAAUUUCAACACGAGCGGGGUCAAAUCCUUUGCAGACGACUUAGCUGUGCGAAACGGUCCUGUAA